rnacentral:rRNA from 1 species
UACGUAGGGUGCAAGCGUUAAUCGGAAUUACUGGGCGUAAAGCGUGCGCAGGCGGUUUUGUAAGUCAGAUGUGAAAUCCCCGGGCUUAACCUGGGAACUGCGUUUGAAACUACAAGGCUAGAGUGUGGCAGAGGGGGGGUAGAAUUCCACGUGUAGCAGUGAAAUGCGUAGAGAUGUGGAGGAAUACCAAUGGCGAAGGCAGCCCCCUGGGAUAAUAUUGACGCUCAUGCACGAAAGCGUGGGGAGCAAACAGG